UGGGGAAUUUUGGACAAUGGGCGAAAGCCUGAUCCAGCAAUGCCGCGUGUGUGAAGAAGGCCUUCGGGUUGUAAAGCACUUUUGUCCGGAAAGAAAUCCUUGGCUCUAAUACAGUCGGGGGAUGACGGUACCGGAAGAAUAAGCACCGGCUAACUACGUGCCAGCAGCCGCGGUAAUACGUAGGGUGCAAGCGUUAAUCGGAAUUACUGGGCGUAAAGCGUGCGCAGGCGGUUUGCUAAGACCGAUGUGAAAUCCCGGGCUCAACCUGGGAACUGCAUUGGUGACUGGCAGGCUAGAGUAUGGCAGAGGGGGGUAGAAUUCCACGUGUAGCAGUGAAAUGCGUAGAGAUGUGGAGGAAUACCGAUGGCGAAGGCAGCCCCCUGGGCCAAUACUGACGCUCAUGCACGAAAGCGUGGGGAGCAAACAGGAUUAGAUACCCUGGUAGUCCACGCCCUAAACGAUGUCAACUAGUUGUUGGGGAUUCAUUCCUUAGUAACGUAGCUAACGCGUGAAGUUGACCGCCUGGGGAGUACGGUCGCAAGAUUAAAACUCAAAUGAAUUGACGGGGUCAUAGCUGUUUCCU
rnacentral:rRNA from 1 species